UUCAUAGUUCUACAUUCAGGCAAUCUUUCUUAGUCAUCUGGCCAUAACUAGUUUUCCAAAGGGUAAUGGCCUCACCCCUGAGACAGCUGGUUGGUAUAACCUGUCUCAAUAUAUAUGAGAUGGUACAGGAUGCUCUGGGAGGCUUAAUGCCUUUUAGUUGUAAUUGUGCUCUAGAUUCUUGCUCUUGAGUGUUAGUUUCUGUCUACAAUCCUGAUCCAAUUUUCUGCUUUCUAGACCUUGUCCUAGUUCCUCCUCCUACUAAGUGCUAGUUCCUAAUCUUGCCCUUCAUCUGUUCAGCCUUGGUUCCUAGGUUUUGCCUUUCUUUUCCAGUCCUAGUUUCUGCUUUAAGUUAGCUUGCCUGAACUUGUUUCAGCUUGGACUGCUCACGAUCCUGAAGACACUUGCAAACAUUGAGACUAAAAUUAUAAUGAGCCAAAUCUGAUCUUCACUUAA